GCUACUUCACUGUGCGGAAGUGGUAGGCGGCUGAUCUCCCCCCCCCCCCACCCCCUCCUGCUAAAAAGUGCAAGAAUGAAUUUGGUUCAGCAGAUGUCUGGGAGCGUAAAGCAGGUCACUGCUCCUGCCGCGGCUCUGUAGCUGCAGGGCUUUGACAAUUUAGAAUCAUUAAGAACAAGAAAACAAGCUCUAAAAACCCCAGCUCGGGAUUUAAACCUGCGCUUCUUACACAGGCCCGAGAAUAUGUGGUUGACCGCAGAGCUUAACCGCCUAGGAUUUUAUUAGAUUUCAGUUGUCUGCCUUUUCCUUUAACAUCAGCGCACCACCCCGGCAUACUUUGCGUUGAAAUUGUGUAACUAGCUACACACGAGCUACACCGGUAGUAACUGGGAACAGUGUAUAAGGUACACCCCGAGUUCAGCCCACAGCUUUCUGCUUGCUCCUGUUUUAACAGGCCGUGUGUAGGGACGCGGGGGCUGCAGCUGCCGCAGGACAGAGCUUUGUCCCUAGCAGGACUCCGGCACUCUCUAGCUGAACAGCUAGUUAGGGUGAGGGGCCUUUUGCCAUCGGACUGCGAGCAGCAUUGGCUAGACCUGGGAAGCAAUGCAAAGGGGCGAGCCUUGUGCCUCCAUCUCUGAGAGAGGGAGACAAGCGCUCGGCGCGGGAGGGUCCAGGAAUCCCCUUGGUGGGGCGGUGUCUCUCCUCUCUACCGCUCAUAACAACGCUACUGCUAACGACUAGCAGUGCCACAGCAUCACCUGCCCUUCUGCUCACUGGCCUCUGCUGCCCACCUGCAGGCGGACCAGAAAUUGGCAUGAAGAGGCAACAUCCAUAAUUCUAGUGUGGAAAAUGGAACCGAUUUCAGAGCGAGGAGCUCGUUACAUUCCCACGCCCUCCCGUGGUUCGAGGCCGCCAAGGGCCCUGAAGUUCAGGCUCGACGAGCAAACCCCCACAAAAUAGGGGGGCGUUAAUUUCGGAUUCCCCCCACUUCUGCGCACCGUCAGCACGUGCUAGGGGCGGAGAGUGGUUUCUGCUGGCGCGUCUCGAGGGGACAUUGGUGUGUGAGACGCGAACCGAACCCGUGAGCCCCCGGGGAGACGCUUCCAACAGGGCAGUGGCUGCCUGGCUCCCAGCAGCUGGAGUCUCGGGCUUUCUGGCGGCAGGGCUUGUCUCGCAGCCCCGAUUCAGGCAAAACCCCACUUCUGUCAUGCCUAAGGGCUGCCCGGGGAGAGCGGCAGGCCAAGGCUCCACCGUAGAAGAUCAAAGCAGCCUAGCGGAUGAAAUCACGAGACAUGUUCAGGCUCCCCUUUCACGAGACCAUCUCCAGAGCUGCGAUCCCAAGGUAGGAUACCCUGGACACGCCUGGCAUUUUAAUAUGGGUGACUGGAUGGUCACAUCCUGGGGGAGGCGUCGCAGGUGAUUUUUUUUUAAAUCCAGGGCUAUAUUUUACAUUAUCGUAGACAGAAGAAAGGCCCUGAACUAGAAGACACUGAUCACGUUUGGGAGCGGUCAUCCUCUCCGUUCACACGGGUCUCAGUGAUGUCUUUUCUUUCCUAAUUCACACUCCCCUGAAUUGGUUGGGGAGAGCCUACGAAUCGAAACUGCUGAUUUCCCCUCUCCCCACAGAGAUUACACCUUUCUGUUUACACAAGCCCCCACACCUACUUCAUUACGGAUCCGGUUUGCUGUGGUUGGCACAUAGAACGCUCAAAUGGAACAGUUCGCACUUUUUAAGAGCCUUUAAUAUAUUUUCAAUUGCUGUAAGUAACGUCUUGAUUGAAUUUAGCGCUGAUUAGAGUUGAGCAUCAGUUUACACAACAAGAACUUAUGUUUCAUUCAGCUAAUUAGCAUGACGUGUUCGGUUUAUGAGCCAUAUCGCUAAUGGUAAUGACCAGAGCUGAUUGAUUUCUAAUGUGAUUAUAAUUACACAGAUGUAAGGGAAUUCAAAAAAAUCCACACACCGUUAAUUAGGGUUUUUUUUGGGGGGGGGGGAAGAAACAAACCAACUCCACUUGUAUGAACAAUACAUGUGGAUAUAUAAACGAAUCGCUCUGGUAAGGGAGCGGAUUUUGUUUAAAUGAAAAAGUCCAACGCAAUUAACUCCCUGAACGGUUAAUCUAUAUAUACUGUAUUGCACCAUAUCACUUCCUCUCUGCUACCCCCCCUCCCCCAGUAAGUUUGCUCAGAAGCAUCACAAACUUGGUUCUCGAAGAAUAUGCGCGCAAAGUAUUUCACGGGUUGGGGGCCGAUUUCCAAGGCACAACUCCUUCCUAGCCCGGGUGCGCUGUCCAUGUAGUUUGCCAGCCCGCUACAACGGAGGUCUCCCAGCUCCACUCUCAGUAGGACUCUGACGGCCACCGGGAAGCAGGGCUGCCUGCUCCGGGAUCAAAGGAAGGGCGGGGCCGUGUGAACGCUCGCGCCGAAGCCGCCCGUGCUCUCUGGGUGUGGAAGGGCACCUCGGCGAGCAGCUUCCCCCGAGCAGAGGCCUGGGAGGGGAGUCUCGGCCAGCGUCGGUGUUUUGGGUCGCGGAGCGUCUGUAUUUACACAGGCAGCAAGGCUGCGCCCCGCCCGCCCGCUCUCUCCGCGGGAGGCACCCGGAGAACCCGCAGCGAGCUCCGGCUUGGAGACAGACCCCGCACCAGCCCCCGCGUUCACGGCCGGCGGAGACUGAGGGCGACGCUGGAGUCGCAACAGGAUUCAGUAUCACUUUAGUAUAUUGAAUAUUGCCUGCUUUGAACAUACAGUUUGGCUCAAAGUGAUAAUUUAGCACAGAGAGCUACCCUGCUGAGAAAAAAUUCUGAAGAAAAAUUGUUAGCACCAGAGACAUCUAAAAUCCUGUGCCAGAUUCUGCAGUUGUUCUGUGCAUGGACCUCCCGUUUGAGGCACUGGGAUCAGGAUACCUGGGAAACAGGUGUCUUCCUGAAUUGGGGCCUUAGGACUGUAUGAGACUUCCACAGAGAAAACUCUGCUGCUGCAGCCAUGUCGACUUCUCUGGAAAAGUGAAUGUAGUAUAUGUCAUGAGAAUGUGUGACACACGGAAGAGCUGCUAAAUGUAAAUGUGUACAUCUACGAACAGAGCAUGAAGGCAAUACUUAGAAGAAAGAGGACUCUAUCCUGGGAAGCAGUGACUCCACAAAUGAUUUGAGGGCCAUGGUGGAUAAGCAGCUGAACGUGUGCUCUGAGUGCAAUGCUGUGGCCAAAAGAUUCUGCUAAUUCUGAAAGACCACACCUCCCUCCAUGUAGCCUCGCCAUAGAAGAGGAGAAAAAAA